rnacentral:rRNA from 1 species
AUUGAACGCUGGCGGCAUGCUUUACACAUGCAAGUCGAACGGCAGCACGGGUGCUUGCACCUGGUGGCGAGUGGCGGACGGGUGAGUAAUACAUCGGAACGUGUCCAGAAGAGGGGGAUAACGCAUCGAAAGAUGUGCUAAUACCGCAUAUGCUCUGAGGAGGAAAGUAGGGGAUCGAAAGACCUUACGCUUUUGGAGCGGCCGAUGUCUGAUUAGCUAGUUGGUGGGGUAAGGGCCUACCAAGGCGACGAUCAGUAGUUGGUCUGAGAGGACGACCAGCCACACUGGGACUGAGACACGGCCCAGACUCCUACGGGAGGCAGCAGUGGGGAAUUUUGGACAAUGGGCGCAAGCCUGAUCCAGCAAUGCCGCGUGAGUGAAGAAGGCCUGGUUGUAAG